AUUGAACGCUGGCGGCAUGCUUUACACAUGCAAGUCGAACGGCAGCGCGGGCUUCGGCCUGGCGGCGAGUGGCGAACGGGUGAGUAAUAUAUCGGAACGUACCCAAGAGUGGGGAUAACGUAGCGAAAGUUACGCUAAUACCGCAUACGAUCUAAGGAUGAAAGCAGGGGAUCGCAAGACCUUGUGCUCCUGGAGCGGCCGAUAUCUGAUUAGCUAGUUGGUGGGGUAAAGGCCCACCAAGGCAACGAUCAGUAGCUGGUCUGAGAGGACGACCAGCCACACUGGAACUGAGACACGGUCCAGACUCCUACGGAGGCAGCAGUGGGGAAGUUUUAGGUACAAAUGGGGGCGAACCCUACGAUCCAGCAAUGCCGCGUGAGUGAAGAAGGCCUCGGUUGUAAGAC
rnacentral:rRNA from 1 species